GGCCUAACACAUGCAAGUCGAGCGGUAACAGGAAAGCGCUUGCGCUUUUGCUGACGAGCGGCGGACGGGUGAGUAAUGUCUGGGGAUCUGCCCGAGGGCGGGGGAUAACCACUGGAAACGGUGGCUAAUACCGCAUAAUGUCGCGAGACCAAAGUGGGGGACCUGAAAGGGCCUCACGCCGUCGGAUGAACCCAGAUGGGAUUAGCUAGUAGGUAGGGUAAAGGCCUACCUAGGCGACGAUCCCUAGCUGGUCUGAGAGGAUGACCAGCCACACUGGGACUGAGACACGGCCCAGACUCCUACGGGAGGCAGCAGUGGGGAAUAUUGCACAAUGGGCGCAAGCCUGAUGCAGCCAUCCCGCGUGUAUGAAGAAGGCCUUCGGGUUGUAAAGUACUUUCAGCGGGGAGGAAGGGUUCAGCUUGAACAGAGCUGGAUUUUGACGUUACCCGCAGAAGAAGCACCGGCUAAC
rnacentral:rRNA from 1 species